GCUCGCCUCAGCCCUACCUGAGCGCCGCGGCCGCUCCGCCGCAUCGGGACCCGAGUGUGGCGGAUCCGGGACCGGACCCGGGACCGGGACCGGGUUUGGGGCAGGGUUUGGGGCCGGGGGAGGCGGCCUCGCGUGCGAAGGGAGCUCGGCAGCGGUGCUGCUUUGAGUCAGGGCCGGCCGCGGCGGCGGGGGAGAGCGGGCUGCGGCUGAAAGAGAGAGCGGCGCUGAGUGAUCUCCGGCCGGCGCCUGGCACGCAAGGGCUUGGCGGCUCCCCCCCCCCCCAUAUACACACACACACACACCGUGCCCACCGAGCCCUGAGGGGAGAAAGGUGGCAAAAAGGGGCGUCGGAGGGGGUAAAUUUGAUGUUUCGGCUUGCUGCUCCCCAAGGGCUGCCGCUGGUUGUCAGCCCUCCCCCGCGCAGCAGCGCUCGUCAGCAGCAAGGUGUGAUUUUGCCAUGUCCUGCAGAGAUCAGGAACACCCGAGGUGUUAUUCAUCCCUCUCAGAAACGACAGCAAACAGACAGCUCUGAAGGUUUCGUCUCAAUGGAUUCAGUUGAACCAGUUAUACCACAAGCCUUCCCGAAGCUGUUUUAGCAUGGAAUUCACAGCAAGUGCUGCUCUGCUCCAGCUAUGCCACAAUUCAGUAGAGAAGUGACACCGGCUUGCAUCGACAAAGCAAUACAACCAGCUCAAAACACAAGGUGAAUUCCCCUCUACUUUCCAAACUUUUCCUUACCAAUUUUUUUUUAGCAGCACAUACAAAGAGAAGUCAGAAGCAUCAGUUUCCAGGACACAUAACUCUAAGGACAUAUUGAUAAGACCCAUGACUUUCAUUCUUUUAAGAAGGAAAUACACGUGGAGUGCCCAGGCAGUGAGAACAAGCCGUGUCCUGAGAAGUUGCAGGAUGGUGAAUGCAGGAGUGGAUUUAAGCUACAGAGCUUUGCCUGCAAGGGUUACAUUCGGGAAGAAAGAGAGAGGCUGAGCAGACAUGCAAAACAAGCAGGUAGAAAAUUAUUUCUGUAGCAGAAAGGACUGAAGUUUCUUUUUUUUUUCUUUUUUUUUUUUUUUUCAUGUGGUCAAUAUGCUUAUCAGCACAAACUGCGAUUUUCUAAGCCUUUUUCUCAGUACUGGUGCAUUACUGUAAUUCAUAUAUGCAUGUGGCACAUUCAUGCGUGACCAGGGAAGCGGAACUUGUCUAAGCAAAACUGGCAGCAAUAAAGAAAUCUGCAAAAUAGGUCUGCAAAAGUGGUGAAGUAGCUAAAGGUGAAAGAGCUUGCUGCUCUGCAUAGGGACUGAUUUCACUCCAGCUGUGCAUGAUGCCACGUACCUGCUGAGACACAGAAAAUAUGAAAAGAGAUUUGUUAUUCAAGACAACUGGUUAAGUGCAAAUUUACAUCAAUAGCUGAUCCAACUAAUAAUUAAGAAACAAACAACCCCUAAAACGUAGGAAUACCAUUUGCCCAAACGACCACCGUGCUGUAUUAUUUGCAGCCUGCCAAAUAGCUUCAACAGGACAACAGCUAGAGCACGUUUGGGUUUGUGCUGAAGCAAACUCCUCUUGUAGGGGAGACCUUAGAAGAGGAAGUUGAGGGUGGGACAACAGGAAACUUUGGAGAAUCAGGUACUGCUGCCAAUAAGUCUUUCUGACCCAUAAGAAAGAAAGUGGAUAGGUACAUUUUCAGUAUCCAGUGCUCCAUGCCAAAGAAAGCCUUCCUGCUCAAUUAGGACUUUCUUUCCCCCAUCAUAAGGCUGCCAAAGCAAUACAACUACUGAAGCUUGACAAUGGCAAAGCCUGGUCUCUCGACAAGGUCAAAUGCUGUUGUAAAUUGUGGACUGCAGGGUAAAAUCCAAAGCUAGAACGGUGCUUGUAGAGACAGGGCAGCUCUUCCACCAGCGCUAGUGGGAGGUUGGAGCAGAGAUACAGGAUGAAAUAUAGCUGUUGUCUGUUAUUUAGCCUUUUGUCAGCUAUUGGAAGGGGUUGCCUUGAGGCUGCUAAUUCUUCUUCCUUCAACCUCUUUUGCUUCUCCCUCCUCUGUCACCCCCCACUUUUCCCCUUGCUCUCUUCCAUACGUCCAUGACAGCUGAACACUAAUGUCCCCCUUUUGCUGCUUCCUCUACUUAUUGCUGAUUACCAGAUAACCUAGAAAUAGUGUCAGGGAGCAGCAAGUGCUGGGCUGCUCCAAGAGGGAGGACAAGCCAAGAGCCAGCAGGGACCGCAGUAUGGGCAGUGACACUCCCGUAACUCUGACCCCAGCGAGUGGAAACCAAACAGAGAUGUGCCCUAAAGGACAGCAGUGCUGCUUUGCAGUUUUUAGGCAAAUCUCCUUUUGUCAGCCGUAGAAAUGCUCUCCCUUCUGAGCAGUAGCCCUGCACAUGUGCCCGUGACUGCUAGAUCUCGUGACUAGCAGUGUCUUGUUUUAGCUUCUGCUGCGGUCUCCCGCUGUGAUUUCAGACAUCGCCUACUUGUUUCUCCUUCCUUGAUGACCAGGUAGGUGGAUUUCUUUACUUAACGUGGGUAUCUGAGAUAAGGCACUGUUACACAGGGCUGGCAAGGACCUUCUAGGUCUUCAAAAACAGCUCUGGGCAUAGGCGCCCAUCUCAUAAACUGAUCACUCUCCAUCCUGAACCUACUGAGGGAUUUUCCCCUCCUUUCUCCUUUGGAAAGGCUCCCUCCCUGCUUGGAUGAUGAAUCGUGCUUUCGGAGUCCUACUCAGACUGAGGCACAGUUUGGUUUACUGCACUUGUUUUCCCAAGUGAUUUGAAAUCACUUCAGACACUUGAUGCAGGUGCACCUGCUUGCUUCUUAUCUAACCAAGGAGCCCAAUCAGUAGGACUCAGCACUCCCUUGUCUGUCUUGAUGUGAGGUUAUGAUUGCCAUGCUGUGGCUACCCGAAAAGAUGUUCAGGUAGUUAUCCUGUCCUGUCCUGUUCCCCCACCCACCAAGAGGAGCCUGAACUUAGUUAAAUGUGCCUGUACUGUCAGGGUUUGUUACUACAGCCUGCAACGACUUAUUGCGAAUCGCAGCUAUGUUCUCAGCACAAUGUGGUGCCAACGUGGAUGUGAUUUAAUAACAAUCAAUACAAGUAGGAAACCUAAGGAAGUGUAACAACAAGAAUUUUUUUAUUAGAGGGUCAAUAGCCAAGUCAUUCAGGAAGAAUUAAUUUUCAAGAUUUGGCUACAGAAGAGCUCUGCAAUCUCAUUGCCUUCCCCAUGCCCAGCAGCUUUAUUAUUAUUAUUACUUUUUUUUUCGGGGGAGACUUCAGCAGGUUUCUUCCAUCCUUGGGUCUUUGACGCUGGGUUCCCUCUAGUGGCAUUAACAGGAGCAUCGAUUCUGUGUUAUUGACUGAUCUGGGUCCGUAGAAGGGGCAGGGGGAAGAGGACACUGCAGGAUGCUACCAA